CCGAAUUCAUGAACGGAGCGAAGCAUCCGCGCGACCACGUCAGCGCAACCGGAAGAAACUAAGGAUUGGAAAUCGAGGACGGCGGGAGCAGGAUUGUGGGCGGAGAAGAAGCGGGAUUCGGGCAAAGAGAGCUGGGGGAGGUGAGUGGAGUUGUCGAGGAAGGUUUUGAAGGUUUCGUUGGCGGCGGAACGGGAUCCGGUGCCGGUUGGGAUUGGGGAGGGCGGGGGAGCUGGGAUUGUUAAAUGGGAUUGUGUGCGUAAGAGAGACAUUUUUCUAAUGGCGAGGGUAGAGGGUGGCGGCAUUUUUUGA
rnacentral:lncRNA from 1 species